rnacentral:rRNA from 1 species
AGUGAACGCUGGCGGUGUGCCUAAUACAUGCAAGUCGAACGACAACACAGUAAGCUCUUGCUCUUACCGUUGGCGACUGACGGGCGAGUGACGAGUACAUCAGAUUCUACUUUUACUUGGGUGACUACGUAAGGACACUUAUGCUAAUACCUCAUACGUCCUACGGGUUAAAUCAAUAGUGCUUCGCACCUUUCCCGACUCAUUUAGCCGAUGUCGGAUUAGCUAGUUGGCGGGGUAAAGGCCCACCAAGGCGACGAUCCGUAGCUGGUCUGAGAGGAUGAUCAGCCACACUGGAACUGAGACACGGUCCAGACUCCUACGGGAGGCAGCAGUGGGGAAUAUUGGACAAUGGGCGCAAGCCUGAUCCAGCCAUACCGCGUGGGUGAAGAAGGCCUUCGGGUUGUAAAGCCCUUUUGUUGGGAAAGAAAAGCAGCAGGUUAAUACCCCGCUGUUCUGACGGUACCCAAAGAAUAAGCACCGGCUAACUUCGUG